UGUAGCCUACGGGGGGCAGCAGUGAGGAAUAUUGGUCAAUGGGCGGGAGCCUGAACCAGCCACGUCGCGUGAGGGAAGAAGGUACUGAGUAUUGUAAACCUCUUUUGCCAGGGGACAAAGGCGGCCACGGGUGGCCGUAAGAGGGUACCUGGAGAAAAAGCAUCGGCUAACUCCGUGCCAGCAGCCGCGGUAAUACGGAGGAUGCGAGCGUUAUCCGGAUUUAUUGGGUUUAAAGGGUGCGUAGGCGGUUUGAUAAGUUAGAGGUGAAAUGUCGGGGCUCAACCCCGAAACUGCCUCUAAUACUG
rnacentral:rRNA from 1 species